UAAGCGUGUAGGUGUGUGUUCCAGGUAAAUCCGGUUCACUUUAACACUGAGGCGUGACGACGAGGCACUACGGUGCUGAAGCAACAAAUGCCCUGCUUCCAGGAAAAGCCUCUAAGCAUCAGGUAACAUCAAAUCGUACCCCAAACCGACACAGGUGGUCAGGUAGAGAAUACCAAGGCGCUUGAGAGAACUCGGGUGAAGGAACUAGGCAAAAUGGUGCCGUAACUUCGGGAGAAGGCACGCUGACACGUAGGUGAAGUGAUUUACUCAUGGAGCUGAAGUCAGUCGAAGAUACCAGCUGGCUGCAACUGUUUAUUAAAAACACAGCACUGUGCAAACACGAAAGUGGACGUAUACGGUGUGACGCCUGCCCGGUGCCGGAAGGUUAAUUGAUGGGGUCAGCGCAAGCGAAGCUCCUGAUCGAAGCCCCGGUAAACGGCGGCCGUAACUAUAACGGUCCUAAGGUAGCGAAAUUCCUUGUCGGGUAAGUUCCGACCUGCACGAAUGGCGUAAUGAUGGCCAGGCUGUCUCCACCCGAGACUCAGUGAAAUUGAACUCGCUGUGAAGAUGCAGUGUACCCGCGGCAAGACGGAAAGACCCCGUGAACCUUUACUAUAGCUUGACACUGAACAUUGAGCCUUGAUGUGUAGGAUAGGUGGGAGGCUUUGAAGCGUGGACGCCAGUCUGCGUGGAGCCGGCCUUGAAAUACCACCCUUUAAUGUUUGAUGUUCUAACGUGGACCCGUGAUCCGGGUUGCGGACAGUGUCUGGUGGGUAGUUUGACUGGGGCGGUCUCCUCCUAAAGAGUAACGGAGGAGCACGAAGGUUGGCUAAUCCUGGUCGGACAUCAGGAGGUUAGUGCAAUGGCAUAAGCCAGCUUGACUGCGAGCGUGACGGCGCGAGCAGGUGCGAAAGCAGGUCAUAGUGAUCCGGUGGUUCUGAAUGGAAGGGCCAUCGCUCAACGGAUAAAAGGUACUCCGGGGAUAACAGGCUGAUACCGCCCAAGAGUUCAUAUCGACGGCGGUGUUUGGCACCUCGAUGUCGGCUCAUCACAUCCUGGGGCUGAAGUAGGUCCCAAGGGUAUGGCUGUUCGCCAUUUAAAGUGGUACGCGAGCUGGGUUUAGAACGUCGUGAGACAGUUCGGUCCCUAUCUGCCGUGGGCGCUGGAGAACUGAGGGGGGCUGCUCCUAGUACGAGAGGACCGGAGUGGACGCAUCACUGGUGUUCGGGUUGUCAUGCC
rnacentral:rRNA from 1 species